rnacentral:misc_RNA from 1 species
GCACAUUUCUGCUACAGUCAAAAUAUGUUGGGGCCUUCAAAACCCAACUUUGCUCCCAUACACUUAGACACCCUCACCAACUACUUAUAAAUAUUUGGGUCUUCGAUACAAUAAUCUUGGAUUUAACUUGUAUAAAAACAAAGACUCCAGAUUGACUGUUUAACAGACUGAAAAACAAGAAUUACCAAAAUACUGGACAAGGAACGGCGAAAACAAGAAGCAAGGACACAAGGAACACCCCCAUGCCCCCACGCGCAUACAACAGUUUCCAUUUUCAUGUGAUAAACUACACCUGCAAUGAGACCUGGAAAAUGUUCAGCUCCCUGUAUUUUCUUCUUUCAGUCGGUCCAUUUCCUUCUCCCACUUGAGUCCGAGCAUUUGGCGUCCAAAAGGGACGAUAAGGUUGUAUCGGAAAACCUUGUUAUUGAUGUCACGUAUCUGCAGCUUUAGAGAGUCGGAUGCCUCGAUCCAUAUAGAAUCAUCGACAGAGCCCUGGUGCGUCCAUGCCCUUUUAAGUGCUGAUCUCCACUCAACGACUCUAUCUCUUAUCUCUUUGUUCAAUUCAACCCACUCAGGUGCACAUUUAUUUCUAGAGAGAAUCCUAUACAAGGUAUCUUCAGCUGGAUCAGCAUGAGGAUUAGUAUUGAGGUCUAACGGUUUUCCCUUCCCAGGUAAGUUCUCAAAUUGCCCUUCUUCCAUGGAAUGCCAUAUUCGUUGUUCAACAACAUUGAUAAUGUCAGUUUCCGACCUAACGGCGUCACGUUGACCUCGAAGUUCAGGCGGAAGCUUACGAUCGUUAACCACGUCGAUGACACCGGAGAGACGAUCAGUCAUUUUUUUAUUAUCAGUUUUAGGAAACUCACUUUCUGGAGAAGAAGACGAUGAUGCCAAUCGUGGCUUGAAGACGCCAUAACUGACGGCUUCAAUUCCGGCCGCCGA